UACGUAGGGGGCAAGCGUUAUCCGGAUUUACUGGGUGUAAAGGGGGCGCAGACGGCGAUGCAAGCCAGGAGUGAAAGCCCGGGGCCCAACCCCGGGACUGCUCUUGGAACUGCGUGGCUGGAGUGCAGGAGGGGCAGGCGGAAUUCCUGGUGUAGCGGUGAAAUGCGUAGAUAUCAGGAGGAACACCGGUGGCGAAAGCGGCUCUCUGGUCUGUAACUGACGCUGAGGUUCGAAAGCGUGGGUAGCAAACAGG
rnacentral:rRNA from 1 species